rnacentral:rRNA from 1 species
CAAUAGCGUAUAUUAAAGUUGUUGCAGUUAAAAAGCUCGUAGUUGGAUUUCUGGUAGGAGUGACCGUUCCGAACUUGAUUGUUCGUGUAUUGUGUUUUCUCCAGCCAUCCUUGUGGAGAACUUUUCUUGCAUUAAUUUGUAGGGAUUGGGACCCGCGUCGUUUACUGUGAAAAAAUUAGAGUGUUUAAAGCAGGCAAUCGCUUGAAUACAUUAGCAUGGAAUAAUAAGAUAGGACUUUGGUACUAUUUUGUUGGUUUGCAUACCAAAUUAAUGAUCAACAGGAACAGUUUGAGGAUAUUCGUAUGAACAUGUCAGAGGUGAAAUUCUUGGAUUUUGAUCAGACGAACUACUGCGAAAGCAUUUAUCAAGGAUGUUUUCAUUAA